rnacentral:misc_RNA from 1 species
AAAACCCAGUAAUAUUUCAAGCACGUCUUCAGGUUUCAAUCUCAAAAUUCUCCUAAAGCGACGUGCUAUAUCUGGUUUCGCUUCAGAAAUAUUCAGAAGAAGUUCUUUGAGAGAAGAAGCCUUAGCAAAAUUCUCUCUUUAGUUUUUACCUCUAUCAAAGAACAGGGCACAUUUAGAUAAAAGAAAUUGUGCAAUAACAUUGUAGGUUUUGCUUGUUUGGUGAGAAGGAGUCCGUGAGAGAAGUAUUGCUGAAGCAAUGGAAUUUAACUGAGAAGAGAGAACUAACCUGUUU